rnacentral:rRNA from 1 species
ACGAACGCUGGCGGCGUGCUUAACACAUGCAAGUCGAACGGAAAGGCCCUGCUUUUGUGGGGUGCUCGAGUGGCGAACGGGUGAGUAACACGUGAGUAACCUGCCCUUGACUUUGGGAUAACUUCAGGAAACUGGGGCUAAUACCGGAUAGGAGCUCCUGCUGCAUGGUGGGGGUUGGAAAGUUUCGGCGGUUGGGGAUGGACUCGCGGCUUAUCAGCUUGUUGGUGGGGUAGUGGCUUACCAAGGCUUUGACGGGUAGCCGGCCUGAGAGGGUGACCGGGCCACGGGGGGACGGGGAUCUGCCCGGGCCCCCGACGGGGGAAAGCGGGGGGGAUUUUGCCAGAAGGGGGGGAGGCCGGAUGAGGACCGGCCGGGGGGGGGUGGGGGGCUUGGGGGUUUGAACCCGCUUCCGCCGGGGAGAGAGGGGGAGGGAGGGUAAUGGAUAAAGAACCCCCGCCUACCCACGGC